GACGAACGCUGGCGGCGUGCUUAACACAUGCAAGUCGAACGGAAAGUCCCUGCUGUUGUGGGGUGCUCGAGUGGCGAACGGGUGAGUAACACGUGAGUAACCUGCCCGUUAAUUUGGGAUAACUUCAGGAAACUGGGGCGAAUACCGGAUAGGAGCUCCUGCUGCAUGGUGUGGGUUGGAAAGUUUCGGCGGUUGGGGAUGGACUCGCGGCUUAUCAGCUUGUUGGUGGGGUAGUGGCUUACCAAGGCUUUGACGGGUAGCCGGCCUGAGAGGGUGACCGGCCACAUUGGGACUGCGAUACGGACCAGAAUCCUACGGGAGGCAGCAGUGGGGAAUAUUGCACAAUGGGCGGAAGCCUGAUGCAGCAACGCCGCGUGCGGGAUGACGGCCUUCGGGUUGUAAACCGCUUUCGCCUGUGACGAAGCGUGAGUGACGGUAAUGGGUAAAGAAGCAACGGCUAACUACGUG
rnacentral:rRNA from 1 species